rnacentral:rRNA from 1 species
AUUGAACGCUGGCGGCAGGCCUAACACAUGCAAGUCGAACGAGUGGCGGACGGGUGAGUGAUGUCUGGGAACCUGCCUGAUGUAGGGGGAUAACUACUGGAAACGGUAGCUAAUACCGCAUACCAUCAGAUGUGCCCAGAUGGGAUUAGCUUGUUGGUGGGGUAACGGCUCACAAAGGCGACGAUCCCUAGCUGGUCUGAGAGGAUGACCGGCCACACUGGAACUGAGACACGGUCCAGACUCCUACGGGAGGCAGAAGUGGGGAAUCUUGGACAAUGGGCGAAAGCCUGAUGCAGCCAUGCCGCGUGUAUGAAGAAGGCUUUCGGGUUGUAAAGUACUUUCAGCGGGGAGGCGUUAUCCGCAGAAGAAGCACCGGCUAACUACGUGCCAGCAGCCGCGGUAAUAC